CGGGGACCCGCACAAGCGGUGGAUGAUGUGGAUUAAUUCGAUGCAACGCGAAAACCUUACCUACCCUUGACAUGUCCGGAAUCCCGAAGAGAUUUGAGAGUGCUCGCAAGAGAGCCGGAACACAGGUGCUGCAUGGCUGUCGUCAGCUCGUGUCGUGAGAUGUUGGGUUAAGUCCCGCAACGAGCGCAACCCUUGUCAUUAGUUGCCAUCAUUUGGUUGGGCACUCUAAUGAGACUGCCGGUGACAAACCGGAGGAAGGUGGGGAUGACGUCAAGUCCUCAUGGCCCUUAUGGGUAGGGCUUCACACGUCAUACAAUGGUCGGUACAGAGGGUUGCCAAGCCGCGAGGUGGAGCCAAUCCCAGAAAGCCGAUCGUAGUCCGGAUUGUUCUCUGCAACUCGAGAGCAUGAAGUCGGAAUCGCUAGUAAUCGCGGAUCAGCAUGUCGCGGUGAAUACGUUCCCGGGUCUU
rnacentral:rRNA from 1 species